GACUUGUAGAGCGGUAACAAUUACCUAUUUCUAGAACAUUUUCCCAUCACUUCCAAAGGAAACGGGUACCCAUUAGCAGUCGCUCACCAUUCCUCCCUACUCCCAUCCCUUGGCGACAUCUAGUCUACCUUUUUAUAUGAGUUUGCCUAAUCUGGAUAUUUCAAAUAAGUGGAAUUGUACAAUAUGUGCACAAUCUUCGUGAUUAGUUUCUUUUACCUGAUCAUGUUAUCAAGAUUCAUCCAUGUUGGAGAUCCUGUGUUAGCUCCGCAGGUCAGAACCCAGCAUGGUGUGCAUGAGGAUGAGAGUUCCAUCCCUGGACUCGCUUGGUGGGUUAAAGAUGUGGGGUUCCACAGCAAUGCGGGAUCCCCAACCCACCAAGCAAGGCCAGGGAUCGAACCUGCAACCCCAUGGCUCCCAGUCGGAUCCGUAAACCUCUGCGCCACGACAGGAACUCCGAUCAGUGAUUUUAUUUUACAAGAACCUCUUUGUGACUCCCUGUGAUCUGGGUCCUAUAAGAUAUGAGUAGGGCACAGAGAAAGGGAAACCAUGGCCUGACAUGUCAGUAAUAACCAACUUUAGCCAGGCUUGUUUGGUAGCAAGUGGCAGAAACCCACACUGUUCAUAUAUCCAUCCGAACUGUCUUAAGUUUUCUUUCCCACUAAAUUGUGAAUUCCUUUGGGGGCAGAGACAUAGCUUGUUUAUUUGUCAUCCCCAUGCUCGGCACAGUACCUGACACACAGAAACUGCUCAAUAAGUGCUCAAUGAAUGAAUGGGUAUAUAGAUUAGAAUUCCCAGAUGAAUAGAGAUUGGCACAGGAACAAACACUAAUCAGUAUUACCAGUACUGAUGAGAUGAAAGGUAUAGGAAUUACAGGAUUUUUAGGACUUAGCUUUUAGUUUUCUAGUUUUUGAGCUUCAUUGCUCAAGGUAGUUCUCUACCCAAACAACUUCUUGCUGUUUCCCCAGUAAACACUAUUUUGAAAUGAGAAACACGACAGAAUAGUGGCUAAAAAGCUCAUAUUCUGAAGGUAAAUCUGUGUUUGGACCCUGUCAGUGCUACUUAAUAACCAUAUAACCUUAAUAUUUUCAUAACAUUUUUGCCUCCAUUUUCUCAUUUGUAAAAUGGGAGCAAUCUCAUAGAGUUGUGAGGAUUAAAUGAGUUAAGGUAUAGAACUCCCUCAGUUCCUAGAACAUAGGUUUACUCAAGCAAUAUUUGCCAUUUUAUUUUACUUUUUUAAUUUUUUUGUCUUUUUGCCAUUUCUUGGGUUACUCCCUUGGCAUGUGGAGGGUCCCAGGCUAGGGGUCGAAUCAGAGCUGUAGCCACCGGCCUAUACCAGAGCCACAGCGUCGCGGGAUCCGAACCCUGUCUGCAACCUACAGCACAGCUCACGGCAAUGCCGGAUCCUUAACCUACUGAGCAAGGCCAGGGAUCAAACUCGCCAACCUCAUGGUUCCUAGUCGGAUUCUUUAACCACUGAGCCGCAAUGGGAACUCCAAUAUUUGCCAUUUUAAAAGGAAGAGGAGUUCCCAUCAUGGCGCAGUCUUUUUUAACUGUGCCUGUUGUGGAGCUCUGUAUCAGAUAUUUAGCAAAUAUUUACUAGAUAAAUGCAAUUAAAUAUUUGGCUAAGUAUUAUUUUAGACCAGUUUUUUAUUUUAUUUAUUUAUUUAUAUGUCUUUUUGCCUUUUCUAGGGCUGCUCCCCAGGCAUGUGAAGGUUCGCAGGCUAGGGGGCUAAUUGGAGCUAUAGCCACUGGCCUACAUCACAGCGAUAGCAACUCGGGAUCCGAGCUGCAUCUGCGACCUACACCACAGCUCACAGCAAUGCCAGAUCGUUAACCCACUGAGCAAGGCCAGGGAUCGAACCCACAACCUCAUGUUUCUACUUGGAUUCGUUAACCACUGCGCCACGACGGGAACUCCUAGACCAGUUUUUUAAACUGAUGUGUCCCUGAAUUUCAGCAGUUCUUGUGUAGCCGGGAAGUAAUUUCAUCUGCUUUCCCAGAGAGCAUGGUCUUAGUUUUUGUUAUUUUUGUCCUUUACCUACCUCAGGUUUCCCAAAUUGGGAACAAUCUUUGGUCAAAGGGCAGUGAAAUGACCAGAUAAGGCAGUACAUAUAUUGUGGAAGGGAUGGAAGUGCUUGGAGCCUUUCCCAAAAUAUUUUUUUAUAAGGAAGCCAUGUGGGAAAGCCACAGAAAUAUUAUAUCACCAGGAUACUAGAGUAAGAGCCACAAGGAAAGCCCUUUGCUGGUUCUAUAACCUUGGCUUCUGAGAAAGAAUGCAGACUUUAAAUGCUAGAGUGGUACUUUAAACUGGAAACUGUCUUCAUUACCCUUUUUUUUUUUGUCUUUUUCAGGGCCUCACCCUACGCCACUACCUUACCAGCCAACGCCACAGCCACAGCCACUCGGGACCCGCACCCCAUCUUCCACCUACACCGUAGCUCACAACAACACUGGAUCCUUAAUCCACUGAGCGAGGCCUGGGAUCGAACCUGUGUCCUCAUGGAUACUAGUCAGCUUCGUUUCUGCUGAGCCAUAACGGGAACGCCUUCUAUGAGAAUUUUUGAUUCAGGUUCGAUGCCUGGCCUCGCUCAGUAGGUUAAGGAUCUGGUGUUGCCACAAACUGUGGCGUAGGUCAUAGAUGAGGCUCGAAUGUUGUGUUGCCAUGGCUGUGGCAUAGGCUGGCAGCUGUAGCUCCAACUCCACUUUGACCCCCAGCCUGGGAACUUCUAUAUGCUGCAGGUGGGGCUGUAAAAAGGCAAAAAUAAAAAAAAAAAAAAAGGAAAGAAGCAGCAUUUGAGCCACUUAUGUAUUUUGAAAUGUUCUAGUAUGUGUAUAUAUUUUUAAAGUAAAAAUAAAAACAAAAACCCAAGUGGAA
rnacentral:lncRNA from 1 species